rnacentral:rRNA from 1 species
GAAUCCCACAGGCCGUAAACCAAAGGUUUCCAGCGGAAGGUUCGUCCGCCCUGGGUUAGUCGGGACCUAAGCUGAGGCCGAAAGGCGUAGGUGAUGGACAACAGGUUGAUAUUCCUGUACUACCGAUAACCAUUUGAGAGAAGGGAUGACACAGUAGGAUAAGCUAAGCACACUGUUGGUUAUGUGUGCCCAAGCAUUGAGGCAGUCAAAGUAGGCAAAUCCGCUUUGAUAAUGCUGGGAUGUGAUGGGGAGC